UACAGGGGGGGCAAGCGUUGUUCGGAAUUACUGGGCGUAAAGAGCGCGCAGGCGGUCGAUUAAGUCGAAUGUGAAAGCCCCCGGCUUAACUGGGGAGGGUCAUUCGAUACUGAUCGACUUGAAGGCAGGAGAGGGAAGCAGAAUUCCCGGUGUAGUGGUGAAAUGCGUAGAUAUCGGGAGGAAUACCAGUGGCGAAGGCGGCUUCCUGGCCUGUUCUUGACGCUGAGGCGCGAAAGCUGGGGGAGCAAACGGG
rnacentral:rRNA from 1 species